rfam:Dipodomys ordii contig_30046, whole genome shotgun sequence.
GAGAAGAUGGCUCAGUGGUAGAGUGCUUGCCUUGCAUGCAUGAGGCCCUGGGUUCAAUUCCUAAGCAUCACA